rnacentral:lncRNA from 1 species
GCUAGCUUCAUUUCUUGCAGGUCUAGUUCUGAGUCUAGGGACAGAAGUUUUAGCUUUGGCUGGACACCCAUAGCCCUCUGUGACCUGUCAGUAUUUUUAACUUCACGAUGACUCCUAAGUGGACUGCUGUCCACUGGCCACAACUUACUGAAACUUUCUCCAUAUUCAGCAUUUAUUAAGGACUGGAGGUUCCAAGAUGUAGACAAGACCCCAGGAGCUGCAGCAGUCAUCUGCUCACACUGAAGUUCGUAGAACUAAAAGACGGAAGGAGCCUGGGAUGCUGAUGAAAUUGUGAAGCUACUGACACAAGCCCUGGACUGCCUAUCUCUGGACUCUACUGGAUGGGUCCACAUGGCAAGGAACCAAGGGUAGCCUCUGGCCAGCAACCAGAGAAGAUAAAGAUCUCCAACAACGUCUGCGUUUGGAAGAGGAUUGUUCUUCCGUAGAGUUUUCUGAUGAGGCCCCAGCCUUGGCAACAUCUUGACUGUCUCCUUGUAAAGGGACCUUGAGACAGAGGACUCAGCUCAGCCGUGCCAGACUCCUGACUCACAGAAACAGUGAGAUUAUAAAAACAAACUGUUUUAAGCCACUAAGUUUUGAGUAAUUUGUCACACA